GACGAACGCUGGCGGCGUGCUUAACACAUGCAAGUCGAACGGAAAGGCCCUGCUUUUGUGGGGUGCUCGAGUGGCGAACGGGUGAGUAACACGUGAGUAACCUGCCCUUGACUUUGGGAUAACUUCAGGAAACUGGGGCUAAUACCGGAUAGGAGCUCCUGCUGCAUGGUGGGGGUUGGAAAGUUUCGGCGGUUGGGGCUGGACUCGCGGCUUAUCAGCUUGUUGGUGGGGUAGUGGCUUACCAAGGGUUUGACGGGUAGCCGGCCUGAGAGGGUGAACGGCCACCAGGGGACUGAGAGAGGGCGCAGAAGCGUACGGGAGGCAGCAGUGGGGAAUAUUGCACAAUGGGCGGAAGCCUGAUGCAGAAACGCCGCGUGCGGGAUGACGGCCUUCGGGUUGUAAACCGCUUUCGCCUGUGACGAAGCGUGAGUGACGGUAAUGGGUAAAGAAGCACCGGCUAACUACGUG
rnacentral:rRNA from 1 species